rnacentral:lncRNA from 1 species
AUUCUUUCAUUCAUUUACAAAUAGUGAUUGAGAUUAAUCUCAAUUUCGAACUUUCAUAACAAGAGAUGAAUGAAAGAAGUAAAUCAUAGAGAGGUUGUUAAACUGGAAAAGCCAAUCGCUAGAGCCAAGUAGAAAUUUAUACAUAUUAAGAAAGCGAAUUAACUAAUGAAGGAGUUGAACGAACUGCACUCGGACUCGGGGAAAUAGGAAUGAGUUAGACAUGAUUUAGGCUUCAUCUAAUCCAACAUGCAUGAAGAAUGUAGGAUAAACUGCAAUCAGCAAGAAAAAUGGAGUUCAACAUGCGUGAAGAAUGUAGGAAAAAACUGCAAUCAGCAAGAAAAUGGAGGCCAUUAGAUAAAAGAAACUAACCCUCGGGAGAGAUGAUUUAAUAAUCCAAACCGGCGAUGAGAAACUUCAAAUGGAUGGCAUGGUGCCCAUUAAAUUUUAAAAGAUUAAAGGAAUUAAGAAGCGAAAAAGUCAAGAAUGAGAUUUGGAUGGGGUGGGGAGAUUCUUGGCGUAACAAAUAAAUAAGGGAUGGCUUGGUG